rnacentral:rRNA from 1 species
CAAUAGCGUAUAUUAAAGUUGUUGCAGUUAAAAAGCUCGUAGUUGGAUUUCUGAUCGAGACAUCAGGUCGGGUCCGAGAGGAUCAUGUACUUUGAUUUUGUUUUGAUCAUCCUUGGGGAGAGCAUUUCUGGCAUUCAGUUGUCGGGAUUGGGAUCCUCAUCGUUUACUGUGAAAAAAUUAGAGUGUUCAAAGCAGGCCUCGGCCUCCGAAUACAUUAGCAUGGAAUAAUAAGAUAGGACUUUGGUGGUCUAUUUUGUUGGUUUGCACGCCAAAGUAAUGAUUAAUAGGGAUAGUUGGGGGUAUUCGUAUUCAAUUGUCAGAGGUGAAAUUCUUGGAUUUAUGGAAGACGAACUACUGCGAAAGCAUUUACCAAGGAUGUUUUCAUUAA